AUUGAACGCUGGCGGCAUGCUUUACACAUGCAAGUCGAACGGUAACAGGCCUUCGGGUGCUGACGAGUGGCGAACGGGUGAGUAAUGCAUCGGAACGUACCCAGAGGUGGGGGAUAACGCAGCGAAAGCUGUGCUAAUACCGCAUGUGAUCUGAGGAUGAAAGCGGGGGACCGAGCAGCAAUGUUUGGCCUCGCGCCUUUGGAGCGGCCGAUGUCGGAUUAGCUAGUUGGUGGGGUAAAGGCCUACCAAGGCGACGAUCCGUAGCUGGUCUGAGAGGACGACCAGCCACACUGGGACUGAGACACGUCCCAGACUCCUACGGGAGGCAGCAGUGGGGAAUUUUGGACAAUGGGCGCAAGCCUGAUCCAGCAAUGCCGCGUGAGGGAAGAAGGCCUUCGGGUUGUAAACCGCUUUUGGCAGGAACGAAACGGUGUCCGCUAAUACCGGGCGCUAAUGACGGUACCUGCAGAAUAAGCACCGGCUAACUACGUG
rnacentral:rRNA from 1 species